rnacentral:lncRNA from 1 species
AUGAAGGAGGAAAUCUCUUUAUAAAGGUUUCUAAAGAAAUUAAAAAAAUUAACUUGUACAUUGACUUUGUAAUGGAAGUGAGAACAUACAGGAAAGCCCUUUGGGGAGUUAGCUUUAGAAGGGAAAUACCGGGAAAUACAAGUAAGACAAGGCACUUACAGAAAAAGUAGAAAUUUCAUGUUUAAUAAAUGGUCAAAUUUAACAUAGCUCUGAAUAUAUAAUUUUCCAUUAGAAUAUUGGUAACAACAUUGCAGUAAACUUGAGUCUGGGUACCCCGCACUGAGUAAAAAUGGUAGAUUCUAUUUUGUGUGAGUUCAGUCAAAGAGACAUGGGGGACAAUUAGUCCGGUCUCUGCUUCUGUUGUUUAGCAGAGCCUCCAGCCCGGAAGCACACUGAGAUGUCUUGUGUUUUUCAGAUCUUUAAUUUUUGAAUGCUGUACUGUACCCAAGGACCUCGCUUUUUUUCACUGUGCAUAUGCAUGAUGUGGGACAUCCCAUAUUGGAGACACAGAUGACUUAUUGAAAGCCCUGCCUAAGACUUAAUUAAUAUCAGCAUUUCAAGUAGCUUGCAAGAUUGGAUUCUGUGGCUAUAUACUAUAGGAAUAUAGACUUCCUGGUCUUUUUCUUACUGCCUCCAAAUAUAACCAGAUAAUCCUCUGUCUGGUUUCUUGGGAGCCACUUGUAUCUUACUUUCUUGCAGGAACAUUCUAAAGGGUUCCUUCAGAAAACUUGGGAAAGUGUAAGACUAAAGACAAACCACAGCCUGAAGCCUAGGCUGCUGACUUGAGCACAGAUGGGAGAAUGUUAACAGCCAAGAAAUAUGAGGUCUUUGGCUCUUUUCCCAGAACUGCCAGGCUAAGACCUUGGCAGAGACUCAACAGGAAACUGAACUCUAUUUGCAUAUCCUUUUAUACAUGGGAGAUUAAAAGCUUCAACCUUGAGUGAUCACAGUUUUUGAGAAUCAUGAUGAGGCAUUAAAGAAGAGGAGGAGUGUCUCAAGGGAGGUGAGCUGGAGGUGAUGCAAGCCUCAGACUCAGGGCUGGGACCCUUGGGACUCAAAAGAGAGAAAAGGUGGAGAAAAGAGAAAGCUACUAUUUUCUUCAUUUUGCCCCUGCUAACAUCCAAUGCACUUAGGAGCCUCGAUGUCUGCUCUCCAAGAGAUGUCUGAUCUGAAAGCAUGUUGUGGUCCGCUACACACAAGAGCAAAAGAAGAGCAGGAAGGAGCUCAGUGCCAAGACCAUAGCCACAGGAAGAAAACCAGCUCUUAGGGCUGCAGCUCUAAAGACAGGCCAGGUCAUUACAGGAACGUCUGCUCCCUUAGCCUUGCCAGACAGAGGAGGGUUAAGAAAGGAACUGCUGACCCUGAUAUGCAAACUGCCACGAGUGCUUCCUGCCUUUCUAUCAGCAUCAGAUGGCUAGCGAUGGAUGGCUGUAAGAUUGAUGUAAUUAACAUUUUAUUUUCAGGGCCACAGUGCUGGUUGGGUGCACCAGACAAAUCAACCAACAGAUUAAAGAGUGAUGGAGAAAGCUGUGUUUUGGGCCUCAUUUGGGAACAGAAUGGAAGAGCUGAGGGUGGAAGGGACCUCAGCAAGUCUUCUGAUCCAUGUUUCAACCUUCAUUUCCCCGAUAACCUCAAGGAGAGAGUUGCUUUUCCUGUUCUUCAAAUGAGUUCCUUGAAUUCACACUCUAUUUCUUUGAAUUUGCACAGACUGUUGAGGAACAGGCGGCAGGGUCACUCUACCUCUGCUCAGACAAGCCUGGAAAAGAAAAAUUUUACAUAGAAGACUGAGCUGGAAGAGGCCUGGGAACUUGGGAAUUCCCACUUCCACACUGCCCACUCUAGUUCUCAAGAGGCGGCAGCUAUGCUGCAGUACAGACCACUGAAUUUAGAUUCAGGAAUCUGGGUUUAUAUCUCACUCCUCCUCUUACUUGCAAGUCACUUACCACACCAGGCCUCGGUUUCCUGGACAAUAAAAUGGGGAUAACGUUGCCCCAUGUGGUUGUUGGUGGUCAUGAAAUUAUGCACACGAGCACGCCUUGUAAUCUAGGUUAGACCUGCACUAACCUAGAUUAGCUGACCAGGGUGGAAGGUGGGAGGGGCAGGCUUCAGUGUGUGACUUACCUAGAGGCCAAGGGGAGUCACCAUGGAUAGGGCAGCACUUGUAAGUCCUCUGCUCUCUCAAUGUGGCUCUGAGAAUCUCCAGGAAGAACUGGCUGGUUGAAUUCUCAACUCUACCAAGAAAGGUGUGCUGGAGACCAGGGUCAUAGACGUCUCCUUGUUGAUGUACGAAAAUCAGGAAGCCGUCUCGGGUCCUCUUUACCAGGACAUAGUGUAAUUAUUCAUCUUCUUCCCUGUCAGUUGGCACUGGAAAAUUUUGCUUCUUCUAAAAGGAACAAAUAUCUCUAGCUCUUGUUGCUCCAACAAGGUGUCUGGCUUGAUUCCUAAAGUAAAUAAAUAAAUAAACAAAUA